ensembl:lncRNA
UUAAGCUACUGACAAACCAGCGUGGGCGUGCAUCCAUGGCCACUGCGGCACCUCUUGGGCAGGAUGUGGACCCAGCUGACCCAGAGGUACAGGCCUGUGUUGCCUUCGGCAUCAAGAGCUUCAACUUCCACAGCCAGACUCAUCAGCUCCACAACAUUACCAAGUUCCACUCUGUCCACAGAGAGGAGGUCGGUGCAGGUCAGUACGAUAUUGAUGUGGAGGUGAGAGGUUGCCAGUCCUCCUUCUGUUCUCCAGACAAUUCCAACACCCAGAUUUUCCGUUGUCAUUUUGUCAUUGUGACUGCUCCUUGGAAGAAGCAGUUGAUUCUGAUCAACAGCACCUGUACUCCAGUGUCUUAGAAUGGACAGGAACUACUGUCUAUGUGCAACUACACACAUAUGUGUAAAAAAAAAACACACUUAGCAUGUGUCAAUUGAAUCGUCAAACUAUGUAUGCAUUGUGUGAGGUUGUUGCUUAUAUCAGACAUGCACUAUUUGACCGAGAAAGCUAACAGACGCUAACAAACACCUUUUUAAUCAGAAUUUAACCUAACACUAAUUAUUUUCAUGUUCGAAAGAAUGGAGUUAUUUGUAAGAAUAAAAUCAAUGUGAUUACUGGAGUACUGAUUAGAUUGUUGUGUGGUUUUCUUAUAGAUUGUCUAAUCUACUGUUUAAUAUGUUGAUCGACUCUGGUGCCAGUGAAAUUGAAUUAGGGGCUCGAUUCGAUGUGUGGUAAACGCUGCAUAUGUCUGUUCAAUUGGAAAUUACCUUUAAAAGGUGACUGCAUGUCCUGAUUUUGCCUCCCUUUUAGAUUUGUGUCAUUAAUUAAAGGAUGCUAGCGGCCAUGACUGAACUCAAACGUAAAUUGGUUUUAGGGUGUGUGUGGGUUUGCAGGUGUUAAAGUUGGUUGAACUUUGAAAAGCCUAUCCCUGGGGCUAAUUAAGGACCAUCAAGAAAUUAUACAAUGUAAAUGAGACACUAUUUUCAUGUUGCACACCUUUUAGUUCUCAUUAAAUGCUUUCACCUAAUCAUUCAAUGGGUUUUCUUUAAUUCUACAUUGUAGAAUAAUCGUGAAGACAAACUAUGAAAUAACACAUGGAAUCAUGUAGUAACCAAAAAAGUGUUAAACAAAUCAAAAUAUAUUUUAGAUUCUUCAAAGUAGCCACCCUUUGCCUUGAUGACAGCUUUGCACAAGCUUUGCAUUCUCUCAAC